rnacentral:rRNA from 1 species
UAAGGAAUAUUGGACAAUGGUCGCAAGACUGAUCCAGCCAUGCCGCGUGCAGGAAGACGGCCCUAUGGGUUGUAAACUGCUUUUGUACCAGAGAAAACCUAUCUACGUGUAGAUAGCUGAUAGUAUGGUAAGAAUAAGCAUCGGCUAACUUCGUGCCAGCAGCCGCGGUAAGACGAAGGAUGCAAGCGUUAUCCGGAUUCAUUGGGUUUAAAGGGUGCGUAGGCGGGCUUGUAAGUCAGUGGUGAAAUCUCUCAGCUUAACUGAGAAACUGCCAUUGAUACUGCAGGCCUAGAGUAUAGAUGACNUUGGCGGAAUAUGACAUGUAGUGGUGAAAUACUUAGAUAUGUCAGAGAACACCGAGUGCGAAGGCAGCUAACGAAACUAUAACUGACGCUGAGGCACGAAAGUGCGGGGAUCAAACA